UGAGGUGCUUUAUGAAAAGUUUGCCAACACAUGUUCUUAGUUGGCUACGUUCACCAUUAUUUAUGAAAGUUUGUCUUUGGAACUUUUUAUGGGUGGUCGUUUUGUGCAGAGCUCAACUUGCAUAUCAGCACAACUGAGUGAAUCAUUUGUUCACCCCUCAUAGCAAGGAGGGAAGGAAUAUUUAAUUUACAUUGAAUUCACCAAUGAUUUCUUAUAUUUGCUCUUACUAUUGUCACAAUUGUUAUUACAGAAGAUGUUUGUCUUUUUCUCAUAUUUGUAGUGUAUAACCAUAUAAAAACGAUAGCUGGAGAUUUUCACUUUCAUCUCUCCCUGCAGAAUUCAAUAAAGGACAGAAACAAAGUUUAGGGAAGUAUGCCCCUAAAUUCAGUAUUCGUGAUGGAGCAAUUUUCUUCAGGGGCCAACGAAGAGUUAUAAAGUUGAAGGAUGAGGCCAUGAAUUUUAAAAAAAAAUUUCAUGCCUCACCACUUAGAGGACACACUGGUCUCAUAAAAACCCAAAGUGCCAUGUGUUCAAGGUUUUAUUGGUAUGGCAUGACAGCAGAUAUAGAGAAAUGGGUGUCUGAAUGUGACAAAGGCCAAAGGGUGGGACCGGCCUUGAGCGCAGAUAAAAAGCGGGAAUCCAUCAAGGUGUCUGCUGUUUGGGAGCUGGUUGGAAUUGACCUCACAGGUCCACUUCCAAAGAUGUCCUCUGGUUUCCAGUAUAUUUUAACGGCCACAGACUACUUUUCAAAGUGGGUGGAAGCCAUCCCUCUACAAAGUCUGCAGCGGAAGUGGCAAGAAACCUCAGCAAAAUUUUUUAUAGACACAGCUGUCCCAAACAGAUUUUGUCAGACCAAGGACAUGAGUUUGAGAAUCAAGAAAGCUGUGCUGCACACAUGUUGUAAUGGUUUUGAGAAGUUUCUUUGCAACAUCUUGGCUUUAUGCACAACAUAACUAUAUUAUGCUUACUUUUUCAUUAA